rnacentral:lncRNA from 1 species
AGAGCCAGAGGGUUGAUAAAGGCAGUGACAAAGGGAAACAACCUCAGAGUCCAGCACUCAACAUCACUAAUUUCCCACCUCUAUCCCCCAUCACUGUGAGUAAUAGAUUUGAAGUAGUUUUUGGUAGUAAAGAAGACCCUCCUGGGGAGUUAGGAGGAUCAACAUCUCAUCAAUGAAAUGGUUAGUUUGGAAUAUAAGGGGUGUAAAUAAAAGGUACAAGCAGAAAGAAGUUAGGGAGUAUAUUAGGAAAA